rnacentral:miRNA from 1 species
AUAUAUAUAUACACACACACACACACACACACAUACAUAUAUGUGUAUAUAUAUAUAUGUGUGUGUGUGUGUGUAUAU